UACAGAGGUCUCAAGCGUUGUUCGGAUUCAUUGGGCGUAAAGGGUGCGUAGGCGGCGCGGUAAGUCGGGUGUGAAAUCUCGGAGCUUAACUCCGAAACUGCAUUCGAUACUGCCGUACUUGAGGACUGGAGAGGAGACUGGAAUUUUACGGUGUAGCGGUGAAAAUGCGUAGAUAUCGUAAGGAAGACCAGUGGCGAAGGCGGGUCUCUGGACAGUUCCUGACGCUGAGGCACGAAGGUCAGGGGGAGCAAAACGGGG
rnacentral:rRNA from 1 species